rnacentral:rRNA from 1 species
UACGAAGGGGGCUAGCGUUGCUCGGAAUCACUGGGCGUAAAGCGCACGUAGGCGGCUUGCUAAGUCAGGGGUGAAAUCCUGGAGCUCAACUCCAGAACUGCCUUUGAUACUGGCGAUCUUGAGUCCGGGAGAGGUGAGUGGAACUGCGAGUGUAGAGGUGAAAUUCGUAGAUAUUCGCAAGAACACCAGAGGCGAAGGCGGCUCACUGGCCCGGUACUGACGCUGAGGUGCGAAAGCGUGGGGAGCAAACAGG